AUGAAGACACCCACCAGCACCAUAGCGAUCAGCACGCCGCAUAUCAUAUAGACACUGUCAGUAGGUGGAUCUGCAACAGAGAGACUUGUUGUACGAACCAUUUCAUCGCGACUGGAAUCUAGAUUAAUCAACAGAUAUUGAUCAGAUCGAGGGAGAAAAUUGGGAGCAAAGCAGCUCCGGCAAACUCGUUUGGUCAAGGAGGAUGGUCUUCCGGCGAAGGCCGAACCACAUUUUUCCUCGGCUUUUCCCGCCGCGAAAGAAGAAGAACCCGUCGUCCUUUCAAGUUCAACGCCACCUUCGGACCCGGCUUCGAGCACAAGGAACUGCGUGGAAAGGGUGUUUGCUUUGCUGCGAGGCUUUUACAUAACACGAUUCUUUCUGAGUAAAAAUGUAAUUUUAGUACUAAAAAAAUUGUUUUGCAAUCUUGAGGAGAGGUAACAGGUAAGACAGAUAAGACAAUGUUAACCUUAUUCUGUAGGAUAACUCCUAUACCACGUUUCCACACAAGAUAGCAAUAGAGUAAAAUGAGUUCAGCGAGCAAACAAACCAGGCUAUUCAAUGGAUAACUGCGUAAUUUUGUGGACACCUUGUGUACAUGAUUGGAAACGUGUGUUUCGUGAAUCAGCGCAAUAUCCUAACGGUCUGCGUCUCGUUUGCAGAUAGUUUGGAAACUAUCCAGUUUAACGCGUACGAUGGGAUUGUCGCAAACAACCCACAGGUUGCUGUCAGCUGACGCCGUUGGCAGACGCCGAGCUUCUCUUUUUCGGUCUCGCCGCGUAUAAUCGUCGGAACAUUUCAGGAAAUUCAAACAGCUUUAUCGCGAAGACUUUGAGGACUUUCCGUCAGCUUUUGCACGUCAAAUCGUCAAAACAUGUCAGGACGGUUGAUAGAUUCUCGAGAGCAACGCCGUUGAAACAUUUCGGAGAACCUAUGAAACGUCUUCACAAAAAUCUAUGUUUAAAAGACGCUUGAUUUCAGCGAAUAAAACCGUCGUCACAUUUCAACGAAUGCAAAUAAGUCGCAGGGAAUUAACUUUGAGGACACUUGAUUGACUUUACAAAUCACAAAAUCAGGAUUAUUAGCGGUUAUCAACUGAAGGAAAAAUUGCAAACAUUGAAACGCGAAACGUGAUAAAUGGCAAACAUAUAAGGACAACUAUUAUAAGUAUUAAAUAUAUUAAUAAUUAUAUAGAAUGUUUCCCUUUUCUAUUUAAACCUGUUUGAGCUUCUAAAUAGAAAGAAAAUUAGCAUUCUUAAAUAUGGUAAUUAAUACAUGCAAUUAAUAUUUCGAUAAAUAUAUUAUUAUAGAUCUAUUUCAUCUUUAAUCCUAACCAUGAUGAAAAAUUAAUUUGAGGUUCAAACAUCUUGUUAAAUAUUUUCCAAA